rnacentral:rRNA from 1 species
GAUGAACGCUGGCGGCGUGCCUAAUACAUGCAAGUCGAGCGAACAGACGAGGAGCUUGCUCCUCUGAUGUUAGCGGCGGACGGGUGAGUAACACGUGGAUAACCUACCUAUAAGACUGGGAUAACUUCGGGAAACCGGAGCUAAUACCGGAUAACAUGUUGAACCGCAUGGUUCAACAGUGAAAGACGGUCUUGCUGUCACUUAUAGAUGGAUCCGCGCCGCAUUAGCUAGUUGGUAAGGUAACGGCUUACCAAGGCAACGAUGCGUAGCCGACCUGAGAGGGUGAUCGGCCACACUGGAACUGAGACACGGUCCAGACUCCUACGGGAGGCAGCAGUAGGGAAUCUUCCGCAAUGGGCGAAAGCCUGACGGAGUAACGCCGCGUGAGUGAAGAAGGUCUUCGGAUCGUAAAACUCUGUUAUUAGGGAAGAACAAAUGUGUAAGUAACUAUGCACGUCUUGACGGUACCUAAUCAGAAAGCCACGGCUAACUACGUG